rnacentral:rRNA from 1 species
UACGGAGGAUGCGAGCGUUAUCCGGAUUUAUUGGGUUUAACGGGUGCGCAGGCGGUCUGUUAAGUCAGCGGUAAAAAUUCGGGGCUCAACCCCGUCCGGCCGUUGAAACUGGGGGCCUUGAGUGGGCGAGAAGAAGGCGGAAUGCGUGGUGUAGCGGUGAAAUGCAUAGAUAUCACGCAGAACGCCGAUUGCGAAGGCAGCAUACCGGCGCCCAACUGACGCUGAGGCACGAAAGCGUGGGGAUCGAACAGG